GACGCCUCAUCUUCUUCAUCUGUUUUGGGGAUCGGGAGGAACGAACGAAUUGGAAGCGAUGAAGGAGUUCCAAUGGCGGUCAUUCAAAUCGUGAGGAGGGACGGGGAGGUCGAUCUCCGGUGAGUCCUUCGUCGUCUUCUCCACAGAUCAAGGAAGGGAAAGGAUCGAACGGUUGAAGAAGCAAACUGAGGUGGUUCGGUGAUGGUUAUCGUCAACAGCUGUUAUGGUGAGGGGGAUGUUCCGGUGAUGAACCGUAGCAGCGAUCGGUCUCCGACGAGCCUUCCUUGGUGCAUUUGGUUCGUCGGCAGCCACAGCUCGAGAAAAGGGCAGCACAUCGACAUCAGUCGGCAUACAGGGGGUUUGGUGGUGCUUCGUCGAACGAUGGGGGCUGCAAUCGGCAGCUCCCUUAUGUUUUCUUAUUUCUGAAUCGAUGGUACCCUCAGAGCGGGAAUACAACAUUUAGGGAUGUUUGGAUUGUUAUUCCAGUUGACAGGAAAAGAAAGGAAGAAGAAAAGAAUGGGUUUUCCGGCGAGCUGCCUUCUAGCUCGCUAGUCCCGUCACCAACAGCUUCAAUCGACAGGAAGAGGGAGAAGCACAAUCGGGGUUGUUUGGCUGUGGUGAUCGGAGAACAUCAUCGAGGUGGUCUGGGCUUGAGCUUCUUUAACUGGAGGAGGGGCUGUUGUCUUGGCAGCCAGAAAAACUCCCAUUUCCGGUGGUGUUUGGGCUUGAUAACCUCGACAAUUUCAGAUGGGGGGAAACUGGAUCGAAAGGGCAACAACAUACUUUUUGAGAAGUUGUUGCUUCUUUGAUUUCACUGGGAGGGCAACUAGAAGAGAAAGAGAAAGAGUGAGAUCCAAAGGAAGAGGGUGAGUGUGUUUUCUUUCUGUCAUUGGAUGCAGUAAGUGGAGGAUACAUAAACAGAUUUCUAUGAUUUCAAUGGCAUGAUCGUAAAUCAAAUUAUAGAUAUUUUUAGUUGAUUUUGAAUGUACUUUGAAAUCUUUAGAAAAUUAGAUAUGUACCAUGGAUCAUAUCUUCCAUUUUGUGCAUGCGCACUUGGUGAAUGUGAGAGAUGAGAGAGGACCGUGAGUGAGGUGAAGUAGGGGAGGGAAACUAGCCAAUUUCAAGAAUUAGCAUUUACAUUCUUUUAUUUAUUUAUUUAUUUUGGUGUAAUAUGAUGUAUAUAAUGAUAUAUGUAUGUGGGGAGGUAAAUUUGAAGUACUUGAAGAAUUAAAGUAUAUGUGAUAAAUACAUACUUCUAUGUUGUGAAA